rnacentral:rRNA from 1 species
GACGAACGCUGGCGGCGUGCUUAACACAUGCAAGUCGAACGGAAAGGCCCUGCUUUUGUGGGGUGCUCGGGUGGCGAACGGGUGAGUAACACGUGAGUAACCUGCCCUUGACUUUGGGAUAACUUCAGGAAACUGGGGCUAAUACCGGAUAGGAGCUCCUGCUGCAUGGUGGGGGUUGGAAAGUUUCGGCGGUUGGGGAUGGACUCGCGGCUUAUCAGCUUGUUGGUGGGGUAGUGGCUUACCAAGGCUUUGACGGGUAGCCGGCCUGAGAGGGUGACCGGCCACAUUGGGACUGAGAUACGGCCCAGACUCCUACGGGAGGCAGCAGUGGGGAAUAUUGCACAAUGGGCGGAAGCCUGAUGCAGCAACGCCGCGUGCGGGAUGACGGCCUUCGGGUUGUAAUCCGCUUUCGCCUGUGACGAAGCGUGAGUGACGGUAAUGGGUAAAGAAGCACCGGCUAACUACGUG